rnacentral:rRNA from 1 species
AAUAGAUACCCUGGUAGUCCACGCUGUAAACGAUGAGUGCUAAGUGUUAGAGGGUUUCCGCCCUUUAGUGCUGCAGCUAACGCAUUAAGCACUCCGCCUGGGGAGUACGGCCGCAAGGCUGAAACUCAAAGGAAUUGACGGGGGCCCGCACAAGCGGUGGAGCAUGUGGUUUAAUUCGAAGCAACGCGAAGAACCUUACCAGGUCUUGACAUCCUCUGCCAACCCUAGAGAUAGGGUGUUCCCCUUCGGGGGACAGAGUGACAGGUGGUGCAUGGUUGUCGUCAGCUCGUGUCGUGAGAUGUUGGGUUAAGUCCCGCAACGAGCGCAACCCUUGAUCUUAGUUGCCAGCAUUUAGUUGGGCACUCUAAGGUGACUGCCGGUGACAAACCGGAGGGAGGUGGGGACGACGUCAAAUCAUCAUGCCCCUUAUGACCUGGGCUACACACGUGCUACAAUGGAUGGUACAAAGAGCUGCGAACCCGCGAGGGUAAGCCAAUCUCAUAAAGCCAUUCUCAGUUCGGAUUGUAGG